UAGUGGCGCACGGGUGAGUAACACGUGGGUAACCUGCCCUUGAGACUGGGAUACCCCCUCGAAAGGGGGGCUAAUACCGGAUACGUUCCUCGGAUCGAAAGGUCUGAGGAGGAAAGGUGGCGAAAGCUGCCGCUCUUGGAGGGGCUCGCGGCCUAUCAGCUAGUUGGCGGGGUAACGGCCCACCAAGGCUAUGACGGGUAGCUGGUCUGAGAGGACGACCAGCCACACGGGGACUGAGACACGGCCCCGACUCCUACGGGAGGCAGCAGUGGGGAAUUUUCCGCAAUGGGCGAAAGCCUGACGGAGUGACGCCGCGUGUGGGACGAAGGCCUUCGGGUCGUAAGCCACUGUCAGUGGGAAAGAUGGGUGUCGGCGCGAUAACCGCCGGCAUUUGACGGUACCUGCAGAGGAAGCCCCGGCUAACUCUGUGCCAGCAGCCGCGGUAAGACAGAGGGGGCAAGCGUUGCUCGGAAUUACUGGGCGUAAAGGGCGCGUAGGCGGGAUGGCAAGUCGGUCGUGAAAUCCCUCGGCUCAACUGAGGAUCGUCGAUCGAUACUGCCGUUCUUGAGGAUUGCAGAGGAGACUGGAAUUCCCGGUGUAGCGGUGAAAUGUGUAGAGAUCGGGAGGAACACCGGUGGCGAAGGCGGGUCUCUGGGCAAUUCC
rnacentral:rRNA from 1 species